rnacentral:rRNA from 1 species
AUUGAACGCUGGCGGCAGGCUUAACACAUGCAAGUCGAGCGGAGUGAUGGUGCUUGCACUAUUACUUAGCGGCGGACGGGUGAGUAAUGCUUAGGAAUCUGCCAUUUAGUGGGGGACAACAUUCCGAAAGGAAUGCUAAUACCGCAUACGUCCUACGGGAGAAAGCAGGGGAUCUUCGGACCUUGCGCUAAAUGAUGAGCCUAAGUCGGAUUAGCUAGUUGGUGGGGUAAAGGCCUACCAAGGCGACGAUCUGUAGCGGGUCUGAGAGGAUGGGCCGCCACACUGGGACUGAGACACGGCCCAGACUCCUACGGGAGGCAGCAGUGGGGAAUAUUGGACAAUGGGCGGAAGCCUGAUCCAGCCAUGCCGCGUGUGUGAAGAAGGCCUUUUGGUUGUAAAGCACUUUAAGCGAGGAGGAGGCUCUCCUAGUUAAUACCUAGGAAGAGUGGACGUUACUCGCAGAAUAAGCACCGGCUAACUCUGUGCCAGCCGCCGCGGUAAAAC